UGCGUACAUAAUAGCUGCAGUUACACAGAUUUCCGCUUUCCACGGCGUGGAAUUAACGCGUCCGGCGUCCCUUUUUAAUAGGAGAGCAGGAUAUGAGAACGAUACGGUUACAGAAGGUAAUAUUGAAAGAGAUCAGCUUAAAACUCGAGUGUUGCUCGUUUAUGGAGUCGCCAUUUUGUCGGUAUCCGACACGACGUGUCUCGUGAUGCAAGAAACGUGAGGCAGGCCAGUGUUAACGAGCUCUCUGGGUAUCAGUAACGUAGAAACGAACGGAGCAUACGACGGAAGUCCACAACCUCUGUAUUGUUUAUGCAGUCCGCGUAGAAAGGGAGUAACGCGGAGUGGCCGCGCUGCGCAUCGUUUGCCCCACUACUCAGGAAAGCGCUCUUAAACAUUGAAAACGCGCCAAUUGCCGACAUGCGCACGCAAACGCGAUGGUCAAAUGCAAGAAACGUCAUGGUCGUUGCACUUUGUCCGAAGAAAUUAUCAAGAUAUCUCUUUACACUUUGCCAGUUUCUUUGGAUUUCAAUCUAACGCGACGGUGCUUCAUCGUGGAACCACUGGGAUCAAACAAGUUAAUUGUUAUACUAAUUAAAAAAAGAUAACGCGUUUGGGUUUCGCGGUUGCACGAAGGCUCUCGAGGGGACAGUUCGAGAUCAAUAAUCGAAUAUCGCUAGAUCUCUCGAUUCCGGCGAGGUAAGCAAUGCUCUUUCGACGUCGAUAGGUUGCAGUCGAGAAUCGUUCAGAAGCAAAACACUGUCGAUUGCGUAAAGUCGAAUGCACAGCAGGGAAGCAUGAAAUCAAAGGAAGUUCCACUUGUAUAAAUUAGAGGGAUUAUUCUUUCUGUGUAUUGAUAUUUCAUCGUAUUCCUGUUCUAUGCAACAGGUAUUGUAAAUAGGUUAGUAUAUAUUGAGCAUGCACUUCAUUUUUGGCUUUGAUAUAAUUAAGACGUGUUAUAAUAUGAU